CCUACGGGGGGCAGCAGUGGGGAAUAUUGGACAAUGGGCGAAAGCCUGAUCCAGCCAUGCCGCGUGUGUGAAGAAGGCCUUCGGGUUGUAAAGCACUUUCAGUGGGGAAGAAAGCCUUGGGGCUAAUACCCUCGAGGAAGGACAUCACCCACAGAAGAAGCACCGGCUAACUCCGUGCCAGCAGCCGCGGUAAUACGGAGGGUGCGAGCGUUAAUCGGAAUUACUGGGCGUAAAGCGCGCGUAGGCGGUCUGAUAAGCCGGUUGUGAAAGCCCCGGGCUCAACCUGGGAACGGCAUCCGGAACUGUCAGGCUAGAGUGCAGGAGAGGAAGGUAGAAUUCCCGGUGUAGCAGUGAAAUGCGUAGAGAUCGGGAGGAAUACCAGUGGCGAAGGCGACCUUCUGGACUGACACUGACGCUGAGGUGCGAAAGCGUGGGUAGCAAACAGGAUUAGAUACCCCGGUAGUC
rnacentral:rRNA from 1 species